AAUUCUCAACCCCUUUGGUUUCGCAAGAAGUCGAAGUGGGCUUGGACAGUGGGUUUGCUGGUGACUUUCGGGUCGUCGGCUCUCCUUAAAUGCAUUGGCGGAGGCGAUGGCAUGAUAACGUCCUUCGGUGUGAUAAUGAUCGCCGUGGAUGGAAGUGUCCAGUUCACCUGUGCCUUUAACAGCCCUUUUGUGGCCGCCCCUCGGGGUGAUAGCUUUUGAACC
rnacentral:misc_RNA from 1 species